GAUGAAGAACGUAGCGAAAUGCGAUAAGUAAUGUGAAUUGCAGAAUUCAGUGAAUCAUCGAAUCUUUGAACGCACAUUGCGCCCCUUGGUAUUCCGAGGGGCAUGCCUGUUCGAGCGUCAUUAUAACCCCUCAAGCUCAGCUUGGUGUUGGGGCCUGCUGCACUGGCAGCCAUUAAAAUCAGUGGCGGCGCCAUCUGGCUCUAAGCGUAGUAAUUCUUCUCGCUAUGGAGUCCUGGUGGAUGCUUGCCAUCAACCCCCAAUUUUUCUAUGGUUGACCUCGGAUCAGGUAGGGAUACCCGCUGAACUUAAGCAUAUCAAUAAGCGGAGGA
rnacentral:misc_RNA from 1 species